ensembl:miRNA
AAGUAUUCAGUGGAUGCAAAAGUAAUUGCAGUUUUUGCCAUUGAAAGUAAUGGCAAAACUGUAAAUACUUUUGCACCAAACUAAUAUUUU